UUCAUGGCCAAAGAUUUGUUUUCGAAGCUUACAAAAGGACUUUCGGGUCGUCAGUGCUUUGGGGAAAGUCUCCUGCCUAAACGCGGAAACGCAAUGGUCCCAUCAGACCAUUUGAACCAUUCAGAAUUUUAGAGGCGGACAACCCUUUACAACAUUUUGGCAAAUACUAACGAUUUCGUUGUGUCUAUUUUUAAAAUAGCUCUGGUAUUGGCCAUUUUGUAUGGUAUUGGACUCUGUUGUUUGGUAAAGCUCUUUAAUUUUGGCUGGUUCACAUCCCAUUUAUGGUGUACAUUCGGCAAUGGGACGGUGAAUCCUAAACGAUAGUUAUAACAAAUGAUCUACGAUCAACCCAAUGGAGCUCACUCUUGGACCAUGA
rnacentral:RNase_MRP_RNA from 2 species